AAAAGGAGAAGUAGUCAGUAUGAGGAAAUUAUUUUGAUGAAGAAAUAAAUAGAUGCAGUGAAAGUCUGUCCAGCAUGAAUCACAUGAUACACGUGUCAGUUUUUUGAAUGUUAAUUCCUAUUUUUGAAGCGUCAAACAAACAGUAUAUAAGCACUGAUCUUAGUGCUGUUUAGCACCUUCUCACUGGAAGGCUGAAGCUAUCGAGAUAUUAAAGAUCACCAUGAGGCUGCUGACCGUGUUUGUGUUUCUUUGUGUAAUGAUCCCUCUGAUCAUUACUGCUCGUGAGUAUUAAAGUAUAUUGUACAUAAUGUGUGUGUAUGUCUGUAUGUAUUCAUAAAAAUAACAGUACAAUAUAAUAAAUGGAAAUUUAACAAUCAAAGUCAAGAUCUGAUUUUCUAAUAUAAUUUUAACUUUUUAAUUUAAAUUUUUAUUCCAGAAAAUCGGGCAGCAGUGGGGCAGAGAAUAAUCCACAAGGUUGGUCAACAGUUUAAAAACUCACACUAAAAUAAUCACAGCUCUGUUUCGCUGAACGGAACAGCAACACAUCAAUGUGCUACAAAGUUUGUUGUACAAAUCUUGUGUUAUUUAAAUAUUAUGCAUUAUAAUGGAAAAUUAAAUCUAAAAUUAUAUGUUUAAUAUCAUAAAAUAUCCAAUUAAAUGUAUACAUUUGAAAAUUCAUUGUGUGUCCAUAGAAUAAAAAAAGAAAGAACACCAUGCAAAUACAAAAAAAUUACAAAAUGUUUUCACAGAUACAGAAAAUUCAUGAAUUUUUACUAGAGUUUAAUUUGCUUGUCUUCAGAAGAGCAAGCUGUUGACAAGAGGAUCCUGUGGUAUUGGCGCAAAAACUUAUCGUUAUGUUAGAUGGCGAUGGGUAUGGAGAAAGCGAUGGGGGAAAGACGUGAACGAAUAAUAUAUAUACGCUCACCACUGAUACCGAUUUUGUCUGGCUCUGAAAAAGAAGAUGAUUCCUGGUCUUCCAUGAAAAUGGUCCAUCAGACAGAGAAGCAAAUACUUUCAUCCAACCCCCUGAACUAUCAGUUUCCCCUUUUACAUCUUUACUUAUUUUCUUUCGCUGUAUUGCUGCAUAAAGAAUGAAGCAACAAGUGACACAAACUGGAGUCGACCGGACUGUCUCUUUUAAUAACAAAAACUAUUCAUUUCUGUUCUUAUUAUCUUCAUCAUUAAACUCUUAAGCAUUAAAUGAAAUUGGUCUCUGAGUCUGUCACAUGUCACCUUUUUUAUUGGUCUAAACCCAAACACCAAAUUUGUUUUUCAUCUAUCUUCGUUUUAAAAUACCUAAAUAGAAAAUAACAAGUCUGACCUGCUAAUAUCUGACUGAGCUCAAAGCAUUUACUAAGAUCCUAAACAAUAUCCUGAAUAAAAUAUUAAGUUGGUCUAAUGAUAAUUUCCAGAAUUGAUCUCAGCUACUGUUUGAUAUGCAAGUAAACAAAGCAGAUGAUAAAAGAAAAAGGACUCAUAAAAUACCUUUUCAAAAGGACACAUUUUAUUUUUGUCUUCAUUGAUACAAAUACAUUGUUGUCAUAUUUGACAACAAUAAGGAGAACAGUGGUUUUCCUCCCAACUUUUGACCAAUCACAGCAGGCACAGCAGCCUUUGUCUCUGAGCCAGAGAGAAAGAGCUCCAUGGAGUUGUGUAAAAUAAUCUGAAAUUCUAACCAUUUGAUAAUAAAUUGUGAAAACUUG
ensembl:lncRNA